rnacentral:rRNA from 1 species
AAGGUUUUUGGAGGAAGGUUCGUCCGCUCCAAGUAAGCCGGGAGCUAAGGUGGGCCGAAAGGCGUAGCCGAUGCACAUACGGUAGAUAUUCCGUAGCCGCCAAAAGAUUUAAGUAAGGGGACACCUUGAAAGGACUUGACCCGGGCGAUGGUUGCCCCGGGCGAAAGGGACCGAAAUUUAGUAGGGAAGCAAGUUUGGACGAGGGCGAGAAAAGUCUUAUGUAUAUCUUCGGCGCCCGUACCGCAAACCGACACAGGUAGAUAGGAAGAGAAUUCUAAGGCCAACGGGAGAAGGGUAGUUAAGGAACUCGGCAAAUUGACCCCGUAACUUAGGAAUAAGGGGUGCCACAGCGAUGUGGUCGCAGAGAAUAGGCCCAGGCAACUGUUUAUCAAAAACACAGGUCUCUGCCAAAUCGAAAGAUGAAGUAUAGGGGCUGACACCUGCCCGGUGCUGGAAGGUUAAGAGGAGAUGUGCAAGCAUUGAAUUGAAGCCCCAGUAAACGGCGGCCGUAACAAUAACGGUCCUAAGGUAGCGAAAUUCCUUGUCGGGUAAGUUCCGACCCGCACGAAUGGUGUAAUGAUCUGGGCACUGUCUCAAUUACCCGCCCGGCGAAAUUGUAGUACCGGUGAAGAUGCCGGUUACCCGCGACAAGACGGAAAGACCCCAUGGAGCUUUACUGUAGCUUAAUAUUGGGUUUCGAUAAUUUAUGUAUAGGAUAGGCGGGAGACUAGGAAACCGUGGCGCCAGCCACGGCGGAGUCGACGUUGGAAUACCGCUCUUAAGUUAUUGGAAUUCUAACCUGCGGCCAUGAAUCUGGCCGGGGGACAUUGUUAGGUGGGCAGUUUGACUGGGGCGGUCGCCUCCAAAAAGGUAACGGAGGCGCUCAAAGGUUGGCUCAGCAUGGUUGGAAACCAUGCCUUAGAGUGUAAACGCGUAAGCCAGCCUAACUGCGAGGAUGACGGUCCGAGCAGUAACGAAAGUUGGAGUUAGUGAUCCGGCGGUAUGAGAGUGGAAUUGCCGUCGCUCAACGGAUAAAAGCUACCCUGGGGAUAACAGGCUGAUCUCCCCCAAGAGUCCACAUCGACGGGGAGGUUUGGCACCUCGAUGUCGGCUCAUCACAUCCUGGGGCUGUAUUCGGUCCCAAGGGUUCGGCUGUUCGCCGAUUAAAGUGGUACGCGAGCUGGGUUCAGAACGUCGUGAGACAGUUCGGUCCCUAUCUGUCGUGGGCGCAGGAUAUUUGAGGAGAGCUGUCCUUAGUACGAGAGGACCGGGAUGGACGCACCUCUGGCGCACCAGUUGUCACGCCAGUGGCACAGCUGGGCAACUAUGUGCGGAACGGAUAAACGCUGAAAGCAUCUAAGCGUGAAGCCGACUCCAAGAUUAGAUAUCCCAUAGCGUAAGCUAGUAAGACCCCUUGUAGACUACAAGGUUGAUAGGCUGCACGUGUAAGCACGGUAACGUGUUCAGCUUGGCAGUACUAAUAGGUCGAGGGCUUGACC